rnacentral:tRNA from 1 species
GCCUGGGUGGCUCAGUCGGUUUAAGCAUCUGACUUUGGCUCAGGUCACCAUCUCACGGUUCGUGAGUUCAAGCCCCACGUCGGGCU